UACGGAGGGAGCUAGCGUUAUUCGGAAUUACUGGGCGUAAAGCGUACGUAGGCGGCUUUGUAAGUAAGAGGUGAAAGCCCGGAGCUCAACUCCGGAACUGCCUUUUAGACUGCAUCGCUUGAAUCCAGGAGAGGUGAGUGGAAUUCCGAGUGUAGAGGUGAAAUUCGUAGAUAUUCGGAAGAACACCAGUGGCGAAGGCGGCUCACUGGACUGGUAUUGACGCUGAGGUACGAAAGCGUGAGGAGCAAACAGG
rnacentral:rRNA from 1 species